rnacentral:misc_RNA from 1 species
AACGCACAUUGCGCCCUUUGGUAUUCCGAAGGGCAUGCCUGUUCGAGCGUCAUUACACCCCUAAGCUCUAGUAGCUUGUGUUGAGGCUGUCCUUAUUCCUCCCCUCGGGGGACAGGUGCAGCCUUGAAAAUCAGCGGCAGUGGCAGCCGUCUUCUCUAGCGCAGUGACUAUUUUUACAACGCUACUUGAGGGAGGCAGCCCCGCCAAAAUUAAAUUUUCCAAGAAAUUGACCUCGGAUCAGGUAGGAAUACCCGCUGAACUUAA